GAUGAACGCUGGCGGCGUGCCUAAUACAUGCAAGUCGAGCGAACGGACGCUAAUCUUGCUUCUCUGAUGUUAGCCGCGCACGGGUGUGUAACACGUGUAUAACCUACCUAUAAGACUGGUAUCACCUCGGGACACCGGAUCUAAUACCGGAUAAGAUUUUGAACCGCAUGGUUGAAAAGUAAAAGACGGUCUUGCGGUCACGUAUAGAUGGAUACGCGCUGCAUUGGCUAGUUGGUAAGGUAACGGCUUACCAAGGCAACGAUGCGUAGCCGACCUGAGAGAGGGAUAGCCCACCUGGGAAGUGGAACACCCUCAAUGCUCCUGCGGUAGGCACCAGUAGGGUAUGGUCCGCAAUGGGGGGAAGCCUGACGGAGCAACGCCGAGUGAGAGGUGGAGGCGCUGGGUGCGUAAUACUGUGUUUCUGGGGAAGAACAUAUGUGGACGGAACUGUGGAGAUAGUGACGGUACCGAAUAAGAAAGCCACGGCUAACUACGUG
rnacentral:rRNA from 1 species